CUCCUCCUUGCUUCUCUCCCUCCUCUCUAUCUCUGAUUCUCUCCCUGCUUAUCACUGUACUCUGCCCUUCUAGCUUCUCUCCCUCCUAUCUUUCUCUAACCGCUUACUUCUCUACUCUUGAUCCAUUUACGCCCUGUUUCUCUCCCUCCUCUCUAUCUAAUUCUCUCCCUGCUUAUCCCCACUCUGUCCCUUUCUGAUUCUCUCCCUUCUUAUUGCCCCACUUGGC